CAGGCAAAGACCCUGGAUAACAGCUGAAAUGCUGGUUUUGGUUUUUGUUUUUUUAUUUUACGAGUGGACACAAUUCUCACCUGAGUCCUGUUAGUCUUGUUAAAAUCAGUCAGAUGGAGAGAGGGGGUUGGGGGAAGUAGGGGCUCGCUAUAAUUUUAAUUUUGUGGUCUGUCUGGGACACACCUCAAAAUGACAAACCCUGGCCCCCUACCUGUUGGGAUGUCGCCUCAGUCUGAAAACUUUCUGCUCCUCUUUGGUUUGUUUGCAAACGUCGAACUGCCAAGAGUUCUGAGCUCCUUGGGUUGGGGAAAGGCACCUGGGCCACCGGGUACUUCAUGCACCCACCUGGCCCUGAGGGGCGGCGGGAGCUGACUUUCCUUGAGCACCAGACGCCCCGCACGGGUCCAGCCUUCCAGGUCGCCCUCCGGCCUCCGGGCUGCCCUGCGCCCCCGGCUAUCUGCAGCUCACCGCGCCAGGCCCCGGGCCCAGCGUCCUGGACGGGCCCAGAGAAAGCAGAGAAGCGGCCACGUGGCGCUAUGGCGGUCACUACCGGGAAUUAACCACGGCCACCCUCUCAGAGCGCCGGGCGCGGGCUCAGGGACACGCCGGCUACCACCUGAGCCGGGUAAGGGGAGCCCGAAACCUGCGGGCACCGCGGUAAUCCACUAUGGAGGCGUAAAGGGGGACUCGUUGGGGUCCGCGAGGGGGUGGCAGGGGGAGGGGCCCGGAGGGAGGAGCUCCCGGGGAGGGGGCCGCGGAGGGCCGGGGUCCCGGGGCUUGGGGAGCUGGGUUGGCUUGGAGACCCGGGUACGCGGCGGUGCAGGGCGGGGUUCCCGGAGGGGGCGGGGCCCCGGGCGGCGCGGGGGCGGGGCGGGGGCGGGCACAGCGAGGGGCGGGGCGCGGGCCGGGAGCGGCGGGCAGGCCGGGCAUGGCGUCCAUGGCGGCGGCGAUCGCGGCCUCGCGCUCGGCGGUCAUGAGCGGGAACCGGCCUCUGGACG
rnacentral:sRNA from 1 species